AGUCACAUUCCCAGCUUGGAGCAGCUGCUGCUGCUGGGCAGAUGCUGCCAGUGUGAGUGCUUCCAAAGGGGACUAAAGGCAGAGAUGUACAUGCACAGGAGCCCUGGGCAUGUCCGAUAAACGUGCAAAUAUAUGGGGAGAUUUGUUAGCAAUUAUUUCAGCUGUUCUGCCAACAGUGGCUUCUCUCCUGGCUCUGUGUGUUACAGAUGAGUAACGUAAUGGUUGGCUCUCACAAUUAAGAGAUAGAUGUUAUGUGGAUGUAAAAAUAUAAAGUGAUGUUAUCGUAAUAUAUCCUCCCAUUGUCCUCUUUCCCCUCCCCCUUGUAAUAACCUUGGUAGUCAGGGCAUUUGGGGAGGGCUGGCUUGUGACCAGGAGGCGAGGUGUAAAACACCUGACCUCCAAUCAAGAUGUAAGAAAGUAAUCUCCAGCAAUGGAUAGCAGAGAAAGAGUUGACUGACCAAACUUUUGGAGGGGCUAAGGCUAUCAAAGGCAGAGUAUCUCUUUUGUAGAUGAGGAUGUGGCUGCAAGUCACAGAGACUGCCAGUUCUGAACAUUUUUCCUUGUUCAGUCCUUUGUUAAGGUUUAAUAAACCUUUAAAAUGUUCAAAGUGAGAGUCGUUUCUCACAUGUGCAAUGCUGUGGGCCAUUUUCUCGAUCUGGUUUCCUUUACAUGGGUCCCAUCUGAGUGCUCACUUGGGCUACAGGCUGUAGGUGCUUGGGGCACUCUUGGAGUUGCUCUUGGAUCCCUUGAACAAUGGGGUUUGGCCCAGGAGGGCAAUUUGUGCUGCUUUGUGGCAGAGGAGAACUUCCCAGGCUAUUUUGUGUUUGCUGUGGGGAAGGUUGGUUAUUGCUUUGCAUAAAGUCACAGACCAGCAUGGAGCGUUUGCUUUGUGAUGUCAGGGCAUGGUUGCCACGUCCCAGUGGUGACAUGAGAAGGUUGCCUUGGUGCACGGAAGGCCUCAGUGUCAGAGCAGCCCUAGGGCUUGCUCAGAGCAGGAGCACCCUGCGCCUUGAGGCAUUUGUCAGUGGGCAGCUGCACACUGACAGGAGCCUUGUUUGUUCUAGUGUUGGAGCACAGCGUGCAAACUUGCACAGCAGUGCUACAAUGAUUCAGCAGCUUGCUGCUGCAGUGGUUACUGCCUAUGGAGUUACUUAUUCAGGCUAUUUUCUGACUCACCUGGCACGUCACAUAAAACAUGUAUUCAGUGGAGCUGCUCCUGAGUGCCUGAGAGGACUGGAUUUUCUUCACUCAAACCACAUGAUCCACCGAGGUCUGAAGAGCUGCAACAUCCUUCUCGGAACCAAUGGCUCUGUCAAGCUGGCUGACUUUGGCCUCUUUGCUCAGCUCACUCCUGAGCAGAGUAGACAAAGCUCCGUGGCCAGCACUUCUGGGUGGAUGGUGCCUGAAGUGGUGACAGGUCAACCAUAUGGCCCCAAAGUGGACAUAUGGUCUUUUGGAAUCGUGGGCAUUGAAAUGGUGGAACGAGAAGCUCCUUACUGGAAAGAAACUUCUGGCAUGUGUUGGAGCUCUGUCUCUGAAGGAAAAAAAUUUUUCAGUGGAAUGGUUGGAUGUGUGAUAAAUAUCCUUCAAAAUGGAGGUUCAAUCAUCCGAGUUUCAAUUGUAAAGCAAAAGAAAACUGGAAAUUGAAAAGGAAGAGAAAAUGGAUAAGAAAAAAAGGAAAAGGAAGAGAAAAAAAUAAAAGAAAAAGGAAAAGGAAAAGGAAAAGGAAAAGGAAAAGGAAAAGGAAAAG